rnacentral:rRNA from 1 species
CGUAGGUGGCAAGCGUUGUCCGGAUUUAUUGGGUUUAAAGGGUGCGUAGGCGGUGAUUUAAGUCAGUGGUGAAAUACUUCAGCUUAACUGGAGAGGUGCCAUUGAUACUGGGUCACUUGAGUACUGAUGAGGUAGGCGGAAUGGACGGUGUAGCGGUGAAAUGCUUAGAUAUCGUCCAGAACACCGAUAGCGAAGGCAGCUUACUAAGGAGUAACUGACGCUGAGGCACGAAAGUGUGGGGGAUCAAACAGGAUUAGAUACCCUGGUAGUCCACACUGUAAACGAUGAUCACUCGACGUUGGCGAUACACAGCCAGCGUCUUAGCAAAAGCGAUAAGUGAUCCACCUGGGGAGUACGCCGGCAACGGUG